UCAUGGGUUCUAAUGGUUGGUCCUUAAUGGACAAUGGUCUGAAAAUUUGUCCAAGACCAUUAAGGACCAUUGUCCAAUGGUCAGCCCAUGGCCAGCCCAUACAAUGAUGUUUAUAUACAAUGCAUUUUCACACAAUCUCGUUAAAAGCUCUAUUUAUA
rnacentral:sRNA from 1 species